AUGCAUGGGACUUUUACAACAGUUAUGCAAGAUAUGCAGGGUUUGGCAUACACAAGAGGGCAAAACACAAGACAAAUGCGUACAUUGUCCGCUAAAGAGAAGGGAUGCACAAGCAGACUGUGUCAGAUUAUUACCGGAAAUGUCACAAGACAUCAAAAAAGGAUUGGAUGCAAGGCAAGAAUUAGAGUAAAAAAAAGGAAGAAUGGCAGAUUUGUGAAAGAAAUGGUCGAGCUCAACCACAAUCACAAGAUGCUAGAAAGACCCGGGAUGCUUUUGCACAUGCACUCGCACAAAAGAAAUGAUCCUUUGAUUGACCAGUUGGUGAAGGAUAUGUAG
rnacentral:rRNA from 1 species